rnacentral:rRNA from 1 species
UGAACGCUAGCGGCAGGCCUAAUACAUGCAAGUCGAACGGUAACAUGAGUAGCAAUACUUGAUGACGAGUGGCGCACGGGUGCGUAACGCGUAUGCAAUCUACCUUUAACUGGUGAAUAGCCCGAAGAAAUUCGGAUUAAUACACCAUAGUAUAUUUGAAUGGCAUCAUUUAAAUAUUAAAGUUCCAACGGUUAGAGAUGAGCAUGCGUGACAUUAGCUAGUUGGUGAGGUAAUGGCUCACCAAGGCUACGAUGUCUAGGGGAUCUGAGAGGAUUAACCCCCACACUGGUACUGAGACAGGGACCAGACUCCUACGGGAGGCAGCAGUAAGGAAUAUUGGACAAUGGUCGCAAGACUGAUCCAGCCAUGCCGCGUGCAGGAUGACAGCCCUAUGGGUCGUAAACUCCUUUUGAAGAGGAAGAACAUUUUCGAUCGAAUCGAAAACUGACUGUACUCUUAGAAGAAGCCCCGGCUAACUACGU